rnacentral:siRNA from 1 species
ACCCGGUAAGUGGAGUUUUCCUGC